rnacentral:rRNA from 1 species
AUUGAACGCUGGCGGCAGGCCUAACACAUGCAAGUCGAACGGAGUGGCGGACGGGUGAGUAAUACAUCGGAAUCUACUCUGUCGUGGGGGAUAACGUCGGGAAACUUACGCUAAUACCGCAUACUAUCAGAUGAGCCUAGGUCGGAUUAGCUAGUUGGUGGGGUAAAGGCCUACCAAGGCGACGAUCCGUAACUGGUCUGCGAGGAUGAUCAGUCAAACGGGAACUGAGACACGGUCCAGACUCCUACGGGAGGCAGCAGUGGGGAAUAUUGGACAAUGGGCGAAAGCCUGAUCCAGCCAUGCCGCGUGUGUGAAGAAGGUCUUCGGAUUGUAAAGCACUUUAAGUUGGGAGGCGGUACCAAAAGAAUAAGCAACGGCUAACUUCGUGCCAGCAGCCGCGGUAAUAC